rnacentral:rRNA from 1 species
GGCUCAGGAUGAACGCUAGCGGCAGGCUUAACACAUGCAAGUCGAGGGGCAGCGUGAGGGUUAGCAAUAACCCUUGACGGCGACCGGCGCAAGGGUGCGUAACGCGUGAGCAACUUGCCCUUAUCAGGGGGAUAACCGGUGGAAACGCCGACUAAUACCCCAUGGCAUUGAGUUGAGGCAUCUCUACUCAAUUAAAGAAUUUCGGAUAAGGAUAGGCUCGCGUGACAUUAGCUAGACGGCGGGGUAACGGCCCACCGUGGCUACGAUGUCUAGGGGUUCUGAGAGGAAGGUCCCCCACACUGGAACUGAGACACGGUCCAGACUCCUACGGGAGGCAGCAGUGAGGAAUAUUGGUCAAUGGUCUGACGACUGAACCAGCCAUGCCGCGUGAAGGUCACGGCCCUAUGGGUCUUAAACUUCUUUUGCGAGGGAGCAAUAAGUCUCACGAGUGGGAUGAUGAGAGUACCUUACGAAUAAGCAUCGGCUAACUCCGUG